AUUGAACGCUGGCGGCAGGCCUAACACAUGCAAGUCGAACGAGUGGCGGACGGGUGAGUAAUGUCUGGGAAACUGCCCGAUGGAGGGGGAUAACUACUGGAAACGGUAGCUAAUACCGCAUACCAUCAGAUGUGCCCAGAUGGGAUUAGCUUGUAGGUGGGGUAACGGCUCACCAAGGCGACGAUCCCUAGCUGGUCUGAGAGGAUGACCUGCCAAACUGGAAUUGAGACACGGGCCAGACUCCUACGGGAGGCAGCAGUGGGGAAUAUUGUACAAUGGGCGCAAGCCUGACGCGGCCAUGCCGCGUGUAUGAAGAAGGCCUUCGGGUUGUAAAGUAAUUUCAGCGGGGAGGCGUUACCCGCAGAAGAAGCACCGGCUAACUCCGUGCCAGCAGCCGCGGUAAUUC
rnacentral:rRNA from 1 species